UUAAGAAGGCUGAACUCCCAUGAGCCUUUGUUCUUUUUUAAACAGGUAGAGGGUGGAAGGGAGGCAGGUUUUGUGUUCUGGGUUCCUCCAUUUUGUGUAUGGUGGUGUGGUUUGUGUGCAGGUUCUGAAUGGGUUCCAGUUGGCUUUCAGGAUUUUAUUUACAAGAAAAUUAUAUUAAAUAAGAACUAUACCUACCUUGGAGCAUCUCUUGGACAACUUGUUGCUGUUGGACUGCCACUGGAACUACAGAAUAAGCAUCAACAAACAAACAAACAAACAGUCGGGUCUGUGAGGAUGAGAAGGUCUCCACAGUCUGGAGUCUGGUCUCUGACAGGCUCAACAUACCUGUCAAUCAACAGGGACUCCUCUACAAAGGCAAGGCGCUGGCAGGUAGGCUGAACAGCACAGCACAGCACAGCACAGCACAGCACAGCUCACCCCUCCUCUCACUCCUCGCCUCACCCCGGGUCAGUGUGGCACAGCCUGCCUGCUCUUCUGAACAAACACUUCAGCCCUGCCGACGCAGUGAGAGUCUGGAGCAGCAACACAAGGUCUGUGAGGAUGAGAAGGUCUCCACAGUCUGGAGUCUGAUCUCUGACAGCCUCAACAUACCUGUCAAUCAACAGGGACUCCUCUACAAAGGCAAGGCGCUGGCAGGUAGGCUGAACAGCACAGCACAGCACAGCACAGCACAGCUCACCCCUCCUCUCACCCCUCGCCUCAUCCCUCCUCUCACUCCUCGCCUCACCCCGGGUCAGUGUGGCACAGCCUGCCUGCUCUUCUAAACAAACACUUCAGCCCUGCCGACGCAGUGAGAGUCUGGAGCAGCAACACAAGGUGAUGAAGUGACACUUUGAAUAUGGGGCCUGAUGAGAGAAGUAUCCUUUUCAUGUGGUUUUGGUUUUGCCGUUGUGAGCAGGUGUGGGAGACAGCACCGUGUCUGCAUGUGAAAUAACAAAGUCAUCGCAGUGGAGGGACUCUCUGAAGGCUGCUGUUUGUGGAUUUGUCUUUUAAUGUGAGUGAUCUACUGUACUGUGAUGCCACUGACUGUACGCACGCUGCACUGCAGGGGAGACACCGCUGGCAUUCACAGGGCAUGCUUGUUCGUUUAAAGCACGCUGCACUGCAGGGGAGACACCGCUGGCAUUCACAGGGCAUGCUUGUUCAUUUAAAGCAUGCUGCACUGCAGGGGAGACGCCGCUGGCAUUCA